GGGCCUAUAGCUCAGCUGGUUAGAGCGCACGCCUGAUAAGCGUGAGGUCAGUGGUUCAAAUCCACUUAGGCCCACCA
rnacentral:tRNA from 6 species